UACGUAGGGACCGAGCGUUGUCCGGAUUCAUUGGGCGUAAAGAGCUCGUAGGCGGCUGUUCAAGUCGAACGUGAAAACUCGGAGCUCAACUCCGAGCCUGCGUUCGAUACUGGACGGCUAGAGUCUGGUAGGGGAUCUGGAAUUCCUGGUGUGAGCGGUGGAAUGCGCAGAUAUCAGGAGGAACACCGGUGGCGAAGGCGGGAUCCUGGGCCAGUACUGACGCUGAGGAGCGAAAGCCAGGGGAGCAAAGCGGG
rnacentral:rRNA from 1 species